rnacentral:rRNA from 1 species
UACGAAGGGGGCUAGCGUUGUUCGGAUUCGUUGGGCGUAAAGGGUGCGUAGGCGGCGCGGUAAGUCGGGUGUGAAAUCUCGGGGCUUAACUCCGAAACUGCAUUCGAUACUGCCGUGCUUGAGGACUGGAGAGGAGACUGGAAUUUACGGUGUAGCGGUGAAAUGCGUAGAUAUCGUAAGGAAGACCAGUGGCGAAGGCGGGUCUCUGGACAGUUCCUGACGCUGAGGCACGAAGGUCAGGGGAGCAAACGGG